ensembl:lncRNA HRAT17 heart tissue-associated transcript 17
GAGGAGAUAAGUGACAUAAACUGGCAUGUUCUGAAAGAAUCACUCUGGAUGCUGUGUGGAGAAAACACUGAAAAGAAUUCUAGAGUGAAAGUUUCAUGAAUAUAAGAAGCAAGACAAGGAAGUGGCUUAUGCUUAAGGCCUUAAAGGCAACCACUGUGACAAUCCAGCCAUUCUCUGGAGAAUUCAGCAGAAAGCCAGUUGGAAAGUGAGGAGACAUUUGGAAUAAAUAUGGCUUCUGGGGGCCCAUUCCUAUGGAUCAGCAGCUGGCUUCUGGAGGCCCAUUCCUGUGAAUCGUCGAUCUCAUAGAAGAUAAUAUUGUUAGAAGGCUUACCUCAUUGAUGCUGAACAUCCUAAAAAGCUUCUGCUGCUUUGAGUCACUGAAAAAGACCAAGAAACAUGAAUUUAAAAAAAAAUUUCAAAUGUUAUAAAAUAAAUAAUAUGAACUCAUUAUACCUACAAUGAAUAAUUUAAAUUCUUCUUUGGUAGUCCAGCAUAGGUUUAGAAACUAUGAAAACCCUAGAAGAAAACCUAGGCAAUGCCAUUCAGGACAUAGGCACGGACAAAGAUUUCAUGACGAAGACGCCAAAAACAACUGCAACAAAAGCAAAAAUUGACAGAUGGGAUCUCAUUAAACUAAAGAGCUUCCAUACAGCAAAAGAAGCUACCAUGAGAGUGAACAGACAACCUAUAGAAAGGGAGAAAAAUUUUGCAAUCUGUUCAUCUGACAAAGGUCUAAUAUCCAGCAUCUACAAGGAACUUAAAUAAAUUUACAAGAAAAAAACAAACCCAUUAGAAAAUGGGCAAAGGACAUGAAAAGAUACUUCUCAAAAGACAUACAUGUGGCCAACAAUCAUACAAAAAAAA